rnacentral:snRNA from 1 species
UAACAAGAUGUGAAAAAU